rnacentral:lncRNA from 1 species
UUGCAUUUAGUUUCAAAGUACUAUUUUUGUAGCUGCUUUGUUGUUUCUCUUUUUUUUUCCAUUUAGGGUGUGGCUGGUAUUCAUUCUGUAGCAUGCCCGACCUCCAGUGGUGUCUUUGAAGAAUAACAUCACUGCUAGAUCUGAAACAACAGGAGCCACUGUGCAGAGAACCUACUGAGCAAAGAAUUGGUUGUUGGAAUUACUGGAAGUGUUUAUGUCCAUGUUUUAAUGAUAAGGGCACUGGAAUUAAAACUUCUGUCACUGCU